rnacentral:rRNA from 1 species
UACGAAGGGGGCUAGCGUUGCUCGGAAUUACUGGGCGUAAAGGGAGCGUAGGCGGAUAGUUUAGUCAGAGGUGAAAGCCCAGGGCUCAACCUUGGAAUUGCCUUUGAUACUGGCUAUCUUGAGUACGGAAGAGGUAUGUGGAACUCCGAGUGUAGAGGUGAAAUUCGUAGAUAUUCGGAAGAACACCAGUGGCGAAGGCGGCUCACUGGUCCGGUACUGACGCUGAUGUGCGAAAGCGUGGGGAGCAGACAGG